UUUUUUGGGGUUUUUUUAUUUUUUUUUUAGCACAAAACCCUCACUACAGGAUAUGAUACAACACAAAAAAAAUGAACUGUGGUCAUUUUAAAAAUUAAUUUUAAUGUGCUGUCCCUCUAAGUCAUAUGGUAUUAUGAGUAAAUUUUAAUGCUGGAUUAAUAAUUUUCAUCAUUAUAGUCAUUUCAGCAUCACAUUUAGUCUUCUAAAUCUAAAGGAUGUCCUAAUACUUGGCCUCUGGAUAGCUACAAAUAUAACAGGAAAUAAAUGACUAAGAGUGAUAAUAAUAAUUCUUUUUAUGCAUUAUCUUAUGUAAACUAUUUGAUAUUUAUAGAUACCUGUACAUGGCCCAAUAAGUAAAUUAAAAUACCAUUUAUUUAUUUAUUUUUUACCAUUACAAAGAUUAUACACACUUGCCCUGGAAAACACUGAGAAGUCAAAAAAAAAAAAGAAGAAAAAAGUGCCUUUAUAGUGUCAUGAGAAAAAGAUACUCACUGGCCAACCUGGUAAUUCUCCUUUCACUCUCUUGUCUUUGUAAAAUUUUACAAGGUUUAAGUCAUAACACAAUUCACUACAUUACAAAGCAGAUAUUUUCUCAAAAUCAUUCAUUCAUUCCUUCAACAAAUAUUUUCCAGCACCUGCUAUGUGCAAGAAAUUCUUCUGGGUACUUGAGAUAUAUCAGUGAACAAGAUAGGAAACAUUAUUGUCCACAUGCAGAUAAAUCUCUGGGCCUACAAAAAUAAAUAGAAAUAGAUAAGUAAAUUAUGUAGUGAGCUAGAAAAUGCCAUAGGAAAAACUAAAGCACAGAGAAAGCAUAAGGAAUUAGGGAAGGAGUUUGAGUUUUAAAUAUGGUGGGUCACAGAAGGCACAAUUGAGAAGGCUACCUUAGAAAACAACCUUGAAGGAAGUGAUAGAAUGAGUCCCAGAGAAAUAAUAGAAGUAGAAGAAUAAUUGUGAAGAAACAAAACAGAAGUUAGUCUGGUUAACUUGGGAACUUGGAAGAUUUUUUUCAAAAUAGAAUAAAGUAAGACAAGGGUGAGAGCACAGAGACAAGGUAGGAGGCUAUCAAAAUAAUCCAAGUGAGAAAUUAUGUUGGUUUAAGCCAGAGGGGAAGCAGUGACAGUAGGGAGAGCUAAUUAAAUUCUGUAUGUAUGGUGAAAAUAUAGCCGGUAUUUUUAUUGAUAUUAAAAAUAGAAUGUGAGGGCAUUUCCUUGUGGCACAGCAGGUUAAAGUUCCCAGGCUAGGGGUCCAAUUGGAGCUGUAGCCACCGGCCUACGCCAGAGCCACAGCAACGCGGAAUCCGAGCCGUGUCGGCAGCCUACACCGCAGCUCACGGCAACGCCGGAUCCUUAACCCACUGAGCAAGGUCAGGGAUCGAACCCGCAACCUCAUGGUUCCUAGUCGGAUUCGUUAACCACUGCGCCGCGACGGGAACUCCACGUUAUCUAUUUUUAAUAGUGCUGCUAUGAAUAUGGAUGUAUAUGCAUCUGUUUGAAUACUUGUUUUCUGUUCUUUUUAGUAUGUAUGGAAUAGAAAUGCUGGGUCAUAUAAUUGUCUAUUUGACUUUUCAAAAACCAAAAAAAAAAUUAUUUUCCAUAGGAGCUGAACCAUGUUACAGCCAUGUACAAGAGUUCCAAUUUUUCCACAUAUUUACCAACAUUUGUUAUCAUCUAUUUUUAAUUACAGCUAUAUUCCUGGAUGUGAAGUAGCACCCCAUUGUGGUUUUGAUUUGCAUUUUCCUAAUGACUAAUGAUAUCAAGCAUCUUUUGAUGUGCCUGUUGGCCAUUUAUAAAUCUUCUCUUUGUUUUUGUUUUGUUUUUUAAAUUUUUUUGUAUUUUCUUGGGCCGCACCUGCGGCAUAUGGAGGUUCCCAGGCUAGGGGGUCUAAUCGGAGCUUUAGCCAUCGGCCUACGCCAGAGCCACAGCAACCCGGGAUCCGAUCCUUGUCUGCAACCCACACCACAGCUCACGGCAACGCUGGAUCCUUAACCCACUGAGGAAGGCCAGAGAUCGAACCCACAACCUCAUGUUCUUAGUCGGAUUCAUUAACCACUGAGCCACGAAGGGAACUCCUAUAUAUCUUCUUUGGAGAAAUGUCUAUUCAGGUUCUUUGCCCAUUUUUCAAUUGAGUUGUUUAUCUCUUUGCUUUUGAGUUGUAAAAGUUUUUUUCAUAUUUUGAAUGAUCCUUUUUAGAUAUAUGAAUCACAAAUAUUUUUUCCCACUGUGUGAGUUGUCUUUUGACUUUCUUGUUAAUGGCUUUUAUGCCCCAAAGUUUUUAAUCUUGGUGAAGGCCAGUUCACUUGUCAUUUUGUUUUAUUGCUCAUGCUUUUGGUGUCAUUUCUAGAAACCUACUGCCAAAUUCAAGGUUAUGGACAGUUUGUGAAUAUGAAGAUGAAGCUUUGCUGUUUAUACCUUUGCUUUAACCUUCUCUUUCUACUUAUAGCCUAGAGAUCAGCGAGAAGUGAAAGCUUAGGGUAUUCUUAGAUCUUUGCUAUGCAUUCAUCCUGUUCUGACCAUGUGUAUGGCUUUCUUUCUUUUUCUUUUUCUUUUGUCUUUUCUAGGGCCACACCCUCAGUAUGUGGAGGUUCCUAGGCUAGGGGUCUAAUCAGAGUUGUAGCCACUGGCCUAUGCCACAGCCACAGCCACAGCAACUUGGGAUCUGAGCUGCGUCUGCAACCUGCACCACAGCUCACGGCAUCGCUGGCUCCUUAACCCUCUGAUCGAGGCCAGGGAUUAUACCUGCAACGUCAUGGUUCCUAGUCGGAUUCGUUAACCACUGAGCCACGACAGGAACUCCUUUUUUGUCUUUUUUAGGGCCGCACCCACAGCAUAUGCAAGUUCCCAGGCUAGGGGUCAAAUUGGAGCUGCAGCUGCCUGUCUACACCACAGCCACAGCAACAGCAGAUCUGAGCUGCCUCUGUGACCUGUGAUCCGGCAAUGCCGGAUCCUUAACCUGCUGAGCGAGGCCUGGGAUUGAACCUGCAUUCUCAUGGAUACUAGUCGGACUUGUUAACACUGAGCCAUGAUGGAGCUUUCUAAACUCCUCAGUAUCCUGUGUAGCUUUCUAAAGUCCUCAGUAUCCACUAUUCAUGGCUACUUUGGAAUGCCCUAAUUUCCCAAAGAAAUUCUCUCUCAAGCCUUUCCUCCCAGGUUUUCUGUGGUCUGUUGUAUGCUUCAGUCACAAUGGUUGUCCCUCUUCCCUGGGUGCUUUUUGUCCACCUUGUAGCAUUUUCAAAGAAUGUCCUUUGCAUUUCUGCCAUGAAUGAUUCUGACUUAGUUGAAACAAAGAGAGGCACUGUGUCAGUCCAUUAGGUAGACCACAGACGGGUCAUACCUCUUUGCAGAAAAGUCUUUUCUCCCUCCAGAGCAAGGACCAGGGUCCCACACUGAGAACAUCCGCUGCCCGCCUCAAGACCACCACUGCUAUUAGGAAGGCGUGGAGAAAUCACAUGCAUAAAUGCCACAAAGCUUUCCUACCAUUUUAAAGUCAGUGUAUGCUUGAUUUUUUUUUUUUUUUUUUUUUUAGCUAGGCAAGAGUAAUGUCAUCAGCUGGAAAAAAAGGAUGUGAGAUGAAGGUUCAUAGGUUUAGGGUAUAGAGUGUGAAAUGGAAUCUUAAAUUCUGAGUCAAUAUAAUGGAAUAGUGCAAUUAUCUGAAAUCAUUAGGGCCUAUGAGGCUCAGUGUUACAUGUUUAAAGUGAAACCAAUUAGAAUAAUAGCAUAUUAUUCUUUACUUACAGAUAUCAUGUAUAGUAUUGGCAGAGAGAUAGAUGAGCUAGGAUUUGGGUUUUGAUAAAAAGUGAGAGACAAGGAACUUGAUAUGAUAAUCCAGGAGGUAACCAUAUGAAAGUUUAAUCAUGGAGUUUAAGUUGGGUAAGGAGGAAACUGAGUACAGGAGUGGUCAGAAAGAGUGAAAAAGGAGUUCCCGUCGUGGCUCAUUGGUUAACGAAUCUGACUAGGAACGAUGAGGUUGUGGGUUCAAUCCCUGGCCUCGCUCAGUGGGUUAAGGAUCCGGUGUUGCCAUGAGCUUGUGGUGUAGGUUGAAGACACGACUCAGAUCCCACAUUGCUGUGGCUCUGGUGUAGGCCGGCAGCUGCAGCUCCGAUUAGACCCCUAGCCUGGGAACCUCCAUAUGUCAUGGGUGCGGCCCUAGAAAAAGACAAGAAAGAAAGAAAGGGUGAAAAAGCUGAGGUCAAUGAAUUUUACAUCCCAGUUGGGUCGUUGUUGGAUUCAGGCCUUAAGAGAGAAAAGCUGAGAAGAUUGGAAUGUGGUGGGAAAGUGUGGUAUUUGAAACAGAGAUUACAGAAGAGGGCACCAUCCUUUGCUAUCUGAGCAAUAGCCCAAAGCUUCCAUCCGUCCUACUCGCUGUUUCAACCUCCUCACAUACCAUCCCUCCUCCCACUGACUUACUGUGCUUCAGCCAUAUUGGCCAAUGCAUUGUUUCAGUUUUUUUCUUGAAUAUACUUCAUUCUUUGCUCUCAUAUGGCCUUGACCGUACUUGUGCUCCAACUUGGAGCACUUGUAUCCACAUCUUUAAAUGACUAACUCAAAAGAAAAUCACUGACAAUUUUUCUCUGACCAUCCAACCUGAAGUUUUCUCCACUCAUUUCCCCGUCUUACAAGUAUGUGUUCACACACACACACACACACACACACUUUUUUUCAUGUCACUUUGUUUUCUCUUAUUUGAAUCAUUUAGUGAUCAAAAAUUGGGGGGGGUAUUUAUUUACUUACAAUUUUUUAAUCUUUUUUUCUUACAUACUCCUCCUAACAAGAUGUUAGUCCUUGAUUAGCAAAAGUCCUAUCAAUUUGAAUUUUCUCUGUAUGUGGCAAAUAGAACAGGUAAGAAUGAAUUAAGAAUUAAAGAAUAAAAAUGUCUGAAAAAAUGUUCACUUCAGCCCACGUGAAUGGGUGUGCCAUUUCAUCACAUCCUUGACAUAAUUUUUCACUUUUAUUUUAAAAAAUUGUGGCUAAUUUAGCAAAUGAUAAAUGCCAUCAUGUUGUUUAUAUAUUUAAUUUUUUUAUGUUUGCAGAAAUAUGAACUACCACCAGAAAUCCAGUUGCAAUCUGAAUUAUCUGAAGUAUUCUUUUUAUAUACAUACAUACUCAUUGCACUGCAUACAGUCAGUGAGAAGUUAAGCUUACUACAUGAUUCUUCUAAAAAUAUUUUGUAUAACUUGUAAAAUUGCUAUCUUUCAAAUGUGCUGUGAUAUAAUUGAGCUAAUACCUGGGAUACAUUUGUAGCUUAUUUUUUUCUUAAAGCAGAAGUAUUAGAUGAUACGAAUCUGCUAGAAUUCAUAGAUUUCCUUUCCUUUCAAGAAGAAAACAUUAUUUCUAAAUUUUACCUUGUUUAUUGCUCUUGGAUGCAUUUGUUUCAGAAAAAAGAGAUAGUCUUUUACAGUCAUUACUCAUAGGGAUAGAUGAGUUUGACAGAGGGUUUUUAUUGUCCACUUGAACUUAAUGGAUUCGAGCACAUAGAAUGAAAUAGAGUUUACACAGUGUCAUUUACACUGGCAUUAAUUUGAGAAGACUCGCAGGACUCUCAUCGCUGGCUUUGCUUGCCAAUAUAAAAUAAGAUCUUUAGAUUACGUCUGGCCUAUUACUGAUCAUGCCUAAAUGAAAACUCAGCCUUUCAAACUAAUAAAACUUUGUGGUCUGGACAUGCAUGUCACAUGUCAGACUAAGUAGGGUUAUGAAGUACCUUCUGGAAAAUCCUUGCUUUUCUUUCUUUUGAGGUAUUCCAUUUAAUCUUUUUUUUAAUUCAAGUAUAAUUGAUUUACAGUGUUGUAUUAGUUUCAAGUGUAUAGCAGAGUGAUUCAGUUAUUCACAUAUAUGUCUAUCCUUUUUCAGAUUCUUUUCCUUUAUAGGUUAUUGAAAAAUAUUGAGCAUAGCUCCUUGUGCUAUACAGCAGGUCCUUGUUGGUUAUCUAUUUUGCAUAUAGUGAUGUAUACAUGUUAACCCCAAACUUCCUAAUUUAUCUCUCCCCACCCCAUCUUUCCCCUUGGAAAAUCCUUACUUUUUAUUACGAUCUGAUAAACGUCUGGUCAGAUUAUUUAUUACUCAAAGUUAUUUUAGUUGUUUUCUUAUAUAGACUCAAAUGACUGCAUGAUAAUCAACUACAUAUGAUAAACUCCCAAAUAAAAUGUAUCUAUUGUAUCAACAUAGAAAUAACUUUACGAUAAUACCAUAACUAUCAACACCAGUCUAUAACCACAUAAUUUCAGAUUAAAUCAGAUGAAGUAUAUAAAAAAUGUUUGUUCAAUAACGUUACAGAAUCAUAAAACCUUAGAACUAGAUGUAUAUUUGGGGGAAGAUCUCUAAAAUCAUACCAAAUACGUGAAGUGAUAGAUCAUUGUAAAUGAUUUAUCAUCAUAAACUUAUUUCACAAAUUUGUUGAACAUAUUUGAAAGAUAAUCUUAAUACCGUUGCUUCUAUAUUAGACCUUUAAUUAUGUUUGUUUUGCUACACAUUAUUACUAUAGAAAUAAACUAUUGCAGAAGGCAGUGUGGCUCAAGAGAAUUUAAAAAUAUUAUUCAUGAAGUUACAUAAGGAUUUGAUAAUGAUAGGUUUUUAAUGAAACACAGAUAAGAGGCUACACAAGAUACAAGACUAAGUUGAAGAAGCCACAUAUUUUAAAUGUGCAAAUGGAUUGAAAAAUGUUUAGUACCUAGCACAUUAAAAAAUAAUCAAAA
rnacentral:lncRNA from 1 species